ACGCUCGACACCUACGGAGGCAGCAGUGGGGAAUAUUGGGCAAUGGGCGCAAGCCUGACCCAGCAACGCCGCGUGAAGGAAGAAGGCCCUCGGGUUGUAAACUUCUUUUGACAGGGACGAAACAAAUGACGGUACCUGUCGAAUAAGCCACGGCUAACUACGUGUCAGCAGCCGCGGUAAUCUGAGCGGGCUGGCAAGGC
rnacentral:rRNA from 1 species